GCUUACCAUGCAGUCGAGCGGGGAGAUGUAGCUUGCUACAUUUCCUAGCGGCGGACGGGUGAGUAAUGCUUAGGAAUCUGCCUAUUAGUGGGGGACAACAUUCCGAAAGGAAUGCUAAUACCGCAUACGCCCUACGGGGGAAAGCAGGGGAUCUUCGGACCUUGCGCUAAUAGAUGAGCCUAAGUCAGAUUAGCUAGUUGGUGGGGUAAAGGCCUACCAAGGCGACGAUCUGUAGCGGGUCUGAGAGGAUGAUCCGCCACACUGGGACUGAGACACGGCCCAGACUCCUACGGGAGGCAGCAGUGGGGAAUAUUGGACAAUGGGCGAAAGCCUGAUCCAGCCAUGCCGCGUGUGUGAAGAAGGCCUUUUGGUUGUAAAGCACUUUAAGCGAGGAGGAGGCUACCGAGAUUAAUACCCUUGGAUAGUGGACGUUACUCGCAGAAUAAGCACCGGCUAACUCUGUGCCAGCAGCCGCGGUAAUACAGAGGGUGCGAGCGUUAAUCGGAUUUACUGGGCGUAAAGCGUGCGUAGGCGGCUUUUUAAGUCGGAUGUGAAAUCCCUGAGCUUAACUUAGGAAUUGCAUUCGAUACUGGGAAGCUAGAGUAUGGGAGAGGAUGGUAGAAUUCCAGGUGUAGCGGUGAAAUGCGUAGAGAUCUGGAGGAAUACCGAUGGCGAAGGCAGCCAUCUGGCCUAAUACUGACGCUGAGGUACGAAAGCAUGGGGAGCAAACAGGAUUAGA
rnacentral:rRNA from 1 species